UACGGAGGGUGCAAGCGUUAUCCGGAUUCACUGGGCUUAAAGGGUGCGUAGGAGGGCAGGUAAGUCCGUGGUGAAAUCUCCGAGCUUAACUCGGAAACUGCCGUGGAUACUACCGGUCUUGAAUAUCGUGGAGGUGAGCGGAAUAUGUCAUGUAGCGGUGAAAUGCUUAGAGAUGACAUAGAACACCCAUUGCGAAGGCAGCUCACUACCCGAAUAUUGACUCUGAGGCACGAAAGCGUGGGGAUCAAACAGG
rnacentral:rRNA from 1 species